CACGUAGGGGGCGAGCGUUGUCCGGAUUUAUUGGGCGUAAAGAGCUCGUAGGCGGUUCGGCAAGUCGGGUGUGAAAUUUCGAGGCUCAACCUCGAAACGCCACUCGAUACUGCUGUGACUGGAGUCCGGUAGAGGAGUGCGGAAUUCCUGGUGUAGCGGUGAAAUGCGCAGAUAUCAGGAGGAACACCGGUGGCGAAGCGACCACCGUCGU
rnacentral:rRNA from 1 species